UACAGAGGUCUCAAGCGUUGUUCGGAUUCAUUGGGCGUAAAGGGUGCGUAGGUGGCGCGCUAAGUCAGGUGUGAAAUUUCGGAGCUUAACUCCGAAACUGCAUUUGAUACUGGCGUGCUUGAGGACUGGAGAGGAGACUGGAAUUCAUGGUGUAGCAGUGAAAUGACGUAGAGAUUGGAAAGAACACCGAUGGCGAAGGCACUCUACUGGGCUAUUACUGACACUCAGAGACGAAAGCUAGGGGAGCAAAUGGG
rnacentral:rRNA from 1 species